rnacentral:rRNA from 1 species
UUCUGGUUGAUCCUGCCGGACCUGACUGCUAUCGGAUUGAUACUAAGCCAUGCGAGUCUUUGUAGUAAUACAAGGCAUACGGCUCAGUAACGCGUAGUCAACCUACCCUAUGGACAAGAAUAAUCUCGGGAAACUGAGCAUAAUUCUUGAUAGAUCAUAAUGCCUGGAAUGGUUUAUGGUUAAAAUGAUUCGUCGCCAUAGGAUGGGACUGCGGCCUAUCAGCUUGUUGGUGAGGUAAUGGCCCACCAAGGCGAUUACAGGUACGGGCUCUGAGAGGAGAAGCCCGGAGAUGGGUACUGAGACAAGGACCCAGGCCCUAUGGGGCGCAGCAGGCGAGAAAACUUUGCAAUGUGCGAAAGCACGACAAGGUUAGUCCGAGUGAUUUCUGCUAAAGAGAUCUUUUGCUAGUUAUAAAACCACUAGUGAAUAAGGGGUGGGCAAGUUCUGGUGUCAGCCGCCGCGGUAAAACCAGCACCUCAAGUGGUCAGGAUGAUUAUUGGGCCUAAAGCAUCCGUAGCCGGCUCUGUAGGUUUUCGGUUAAAUCUAUGCGCUCAACGUAUGGGCUGCCGAAAAUACUGUAGAGAUAGGGAGUGGGAGAGGUAGACGGUACUCGGUAGGAAGGGGUAAAAUCCUUUGAUCUAUCGAUGACCACCUGUGGCGAAGGCGGUCUACCAGAACA